UGCCGAAACGCAUUCUUGUGCGUCUCUCGGAGGUUGCCUCCUGAGACUGAUGAUGGCAGGCAUUG
rnacentral:hammerhead_ribozyme from 1 species